rnacentral:rRNA from 1 species
UACGUAGGGUGCGAGCGUUGUCCGGAAUUAUUGGGCGUAAAGGGCUCGUAGGCGGUCUGUCGCGUCGGUAGUGAAAACUCAGGGCUUAACCCUGAGCCUGCUUCCGAUACGGGCAGACUAGAGGUAUGCAGGGGAGAAUGGAAUUCCUGGUGUAGCGGUGAAAUGCGCAGAUAUCGGGAGGAACACCAGUAGCGAAGGCGGCACUCUGGGCCGGUACUGACGCUGAGGAGCGAAAGCGUGGGGAGCGAACAGG